UACGGAGGGUGCAAGCGUUGUUCGGAAUUAUUGGGCGUAAAGCGCGUGUAGGCGGAUAGAUAAGUCAGGCGUGAAAUCCCUUGACUCAAUCAAGGAACUGCACUUGAAACUAUUUAUCUCGAGUACGAUAGGGGAGGGUGGAAUUCCCAGUGUAGAGGUGAAAUUCAUAGAUAUUGGGAGGAACACCAGUGGCGAAGGCGACCCUCUGGAUCGAUACUGACGCUGAGACGCGAAAGCGUGGGUAGCAAACAGG
rnacentral:rRNA from 1 species